UGUAAUUACUUAAUAUAACGCAAUUGUUUUUUGUAUGGAAAGCGAACCACCUUAACUAUUCGCACAACGUUUUGUAGUUGCAGUAAGUACUUACAUAUGGCCGGUUAAAUUUUCGAAAUAGGUAUGUAUUUACGUACAGUGCUAAUUGCCGCACAUAGAAUAAUUAAAGUUUGAUCAAUCGGAAUAUGUUCCUAAGUCACUUAUUACAUUUCGAAUUAUAAGUCUGUAUUUUACAGCUUUAGAUGUGCAUGACUGCAUAUGCACAUCUAAAGCUGAAAAAUGCUUUCAUGAAAUUAUGGCUAAAUUAUGUUAAUAGGGACAAAUGUAUCAUUUUCAACCAAAUGGGUUCUUAUUAUCUGUUGUCAAUAAGGCGCUAUUUCCAUAAAGCUUCAAUUUGAAAUCAGCCUCGUCGACAACCGACAAUGUUAACCUUUUGGUUGAAAACGUCACAAAUUAUGGCGAUAGAGAAUACAAUGUUCUGUUGCCAGAGUGCAGCACUAGGCCCAUCGUAAACCAUAGAGUAACUUAUACAUACUGUGCCUUAAACUGUUUUUAGGGUUCCGUACCCAAAAGGUAAAACGGGACCCUAUUACUAAGACUUCGCUGUCCGUCCGUCCGUCUGUCUGUCUGCUGUAUCUCA